rnacentral:rRNA from 1 species
AUACCAAAUGCACACACAAACUCCUGGCCACACAUUGAGCCACACUAUAAUAAUAGACGAACUAAUGCUAAAACUAGUAACAAGAGAGCCUCUCUAUAGCACACCUCUGCCCCAGUAAUAGAAAAACUGCUGAUAAUUAACAGACCAAAAAAGGUAAAACACCUAAACAACUGUUUAAAACACUGUCACACCAACACAGGAGUGCAACAUAGAAAGAUUAAGAGUUGUAGAAGGAACUCAGCAAAACUUGUCCCAACUGUUUACCAAAAACAUAGCCUUUAGCAACACAAGUAUUAAAGGUCCUGCCUGCCCAGUGAAACUUUUCAACGGCCGCGGUAUUCUAACCGUGCAAAGGUAGCGUAAUCACUUGUCUCUUAAAUAGAGACUAGUAUGAACGGCUAAAUGAGGACAAACCUGUCUCCUACAACCAAUCAGUGAAACUGAUCUUCCAGUCCAAAAGCUGGAAUACAAACACAAGACGAGAAGACCCUGUGGAGCUUUAAACCCACUACCAACAAAUUCAUCUGGUAUAACGUUUUGAGUUGGGGCGACUUCGGAAAAAAACAAAACUUCCGAGAACAGAACCACCACUUCUAACCAAGGCAGACAUGCCAAAACAAACUUAGACCCAGUCAUACUGAUCAACGAACCAAGUUACCCCAGGGAUAACAGCGCUAUCUUCUUCAAGAGUCCAUAUCGACAAGAAGGUUUACGACCUCGAUGUUGGAUCAGGACACCCCAAUGGUGCAGCC